ACCGCAAGGAGCGACCUAGGGCAAAACUGGUAAUUGGGGCUAAGUCGUAACAAGGUAGCCGUACCGGAAGGUGUGGCUGGAACACCUCCUUU
rnacentral:rRNA from 1 species